AUUCCUACGGGAGGCAGCAGUAGGGAAUCUUCCACAAUGGACGAAAGUCUGAUGGAGCAACGCCGCGUGAGUGAAGAAGGGUUUCGGCUCGUAAAGCUUUGUUGGUAGUGAAGAAAGAUAGAGGUAGUAACUUGCCUUUUUUUGACGGUAAUUACUUAGAAAGUCACGGCUUACUACGUGCCAGCAGCCGCGGUAAUACGGAGGCGGCAAGCGUUUUUCGUAUUUAUUGGGCGUA
rnacentral:rRNA from 1 species